GAUGGCUUAGUUGCAUUCUGUCAAGGAUGCUUUUGAAGUAUCUGUUGUUGGAUUGGACUUUGUUGUU